rnacentral:misc_RNA from 1 species
AAGUCGUAACAAGGUUUCCGUAGGUGAACCUGCGGAAGGAUCAUUCAUGUGAAUUCUAAACACACCCAACCUUUUGUGAACUUAGUAUUUUCAAAGACUACUUGCUUUUUUUUACAUAUGGUUUAUGUUUUUUGUUGGCUGCUUUUUAUCUAUUUUCUGAGGGGUUUUUGUUAGUUGCUUGGUCUUUAAAGUGCAAACGAUAAAAACUCUCUAGUGAAAAAUGAAAAAAUGCUACCUAUUGAUUUACCAAAAAAUUAUCCAAAAUAACUUCCAAACAAUUUUGUAAAUAAUAUUACAACUUUUAACGAUGGAUCCCUCGGCUCUCA